rnacentral:rRNA from 1 species
GGAAUUAACUUCGGUUAAUUUUAGUGGCGGACGGGUGAGUAACACGUGAGAAUUCGCCUUUAGGAGGGGGAUAACGGAUGGAAACAUUCGCUAAAACCCCAUAUGCCCCUGGGUGAAACAGAGGAGAUAAGUAAUACUGACUCUUACCUCUGCCUGAAGAGAAGCUCGCGGCUGAUUAGCUAGUUGGUAGGGUAAAGGCCUACCAAGGCGACGAUCAGUAGCUGGUCUGAGAGGACGAUCAGCCACACUGGAACUGAGACACGGUCCAGACUCCUACGGGAGGCAGCAGUGAGGAAUUUUCUGCAAUGGGCGAAAGCCUGACAGAGCAAUACCGCGUGAGGGAUGAAGACUUACUGAGUUGUAAACCUCGGUACCUUAAGGAAGAAGAUCUGACGGUACUUAAGGUGGAAAGCAUCGGCUAACUCCGUGCCAGCAGCCGCGGUAAGACGGGGGAUGCAAGUGUUAUCCGGAUUUACUGGGCGUAAAGCGUCUGCAGGUGGUUUUCUAAGUCUACUGUUAAAUCUUGAGGCUCAACCUCAAAUCUGCAGUAGAAACUAGAAGACUUGAGUAUAGUAGGGGUAGAGGGAAUUUCCAGUGGAGCGGUGAAAUGCGUAGAUAUUGGAAAGAACACCGAUGGCGAAGGCACUCUACUGGGGCUAUUACUGACACUCAGAGACGAAAGCUAGGGGGAGCAAAUGGGAUUAGAUACCCCAGUAGUCCUAGCCGUAAACGAUGGGA